rnacentral:rRNA from 1 species
UACAGAGGGGGCAAGCGUUGUUCGGAAUUACUGGGCGUAAAGGGCGCGUAGGUGGCCUUCUAAGUUGAACGUGAAAUCCCUGGGCUCAACCCAGGAACUGCGUCCAAGACUGGGAGGCUUGAAUCCGGGAGAGGGAUGCGGAAUUCCUGGUGUAGCGGUGAAAUGCGCAGAUAUCAGGAGGAACACCGGUGGCGAAGGCGGGUCUCUGGGCCGAUACUGACGCUGAGGAGCGAAAGCGUGGGGAGCAAACGGG